rnacentral:rRNA from 1 species
GGUGGCCGCAGAGAAUAGGCCCAAGCGACUGUUUACCAAAAACAUAGGUUUCUGCUAAGUCGCAAGACGAUGUAUAGGAGCUGACGCCUGCCCGGUGCUGGAAGGUUAAGGGGAUCUGUUAGAGCAAUCGAAGCAGUGAACUUAAGCCCCAGUAAACGGCGGCCGUAACUAUAACGGUCCUAAGGUAGCGAAAUUCCUUGUCGGGUAAGUUCCGACCCGCACGAAAGGCGUAACGAUUUGGGCACUGUCUCAACAACAGACUCGGUGAAAUUGUAAUUCCGGUGAAGAUGCCGGAUACCUGCGACAGGACGGAAAGACCCCAUGGAGCUUUACUGUAGCUUGACAUUGGGUCUUGGUACUACAUGUACAGGAUAGGUGGGAGGCUUUGAAACCAGGACGCCAGUUUUGGCGGAGCCAUCCUUGGGAUACCACCCUUGUAGUACUGGGACUCUAACCAUAGGCCAUGAAUCUGGUCUUGGGACACUGUCAGGUGGGCAGUUUGACUGGGGCGGUCGCCUCCCAAAAGGUAACGGAGGCGCUCAAAGGUUCUCUCAGUACGGUCGGAAAUCGUACGUAGAGUGUAAAGGCAAAAGAGAGCUUGAUUGCAAGACAUACAGGUCGAGCAAGGAUGAAAAUCGGACUUAGUGAUCCGGUGGUUCUGCGUGGAAGGGCCAUCGCUCAACGGAUAAAAGCUACCCUGGGGAUAACAGGCUUAUCUCCCCCAAGAGUCCACAUCGACGGGGAGGUUUGGCACCUCGAUGUCGGCUCAUCACAUCCUGGGGCUGUAGUAGGUCCCAAGGGUUGGGCUGUUCGCCCAUUAAAGUGGUACGCGAGCUGGGUUCAGAACGUCGUGAGACAGUUCGGUCCCUAUCCGUCGCAGGCGUAGGAAAUUUGAGAAGACCUGUCCUUAGUACGAGAGGACCGGGAUGGACGUACCUCUGGUGUACCAGUUGUUCUGCCAAGGGCAUGGCUGGGUAGCUAUGUACGGAAUGGAUAAGCGCUGAAAGCAUCUAAGCGCGAAGCCAACUUCAAGAUAAGAUUUCCCACCGCAAGGGUAAGACCCCAGAAAGACUAUCUGGUUGAUAGGUCGAAGGUGUAAGUGCAGCAAUGUAUUUAGCUUAUCGAUACUAAUAGGUCGAGGACUUGACCAA